UACAGAGGGGGCAAGCGUUGUUCGGAAUUACUGGGCGUAAAGGGCGCGUAGGCGGCCUGUUAAGUCGGACGUGAAAUCCCCGGGCUCAACCCGGGAACUGCGUCCGAUACUGGCAGGCUUGAAUCCGGGAGAGGGAUGCGGAAUUCCAGGUGUAGCGGUGAAAUGCGUAGAUAUCUGGAGGAACACCGGUGGCGAAGGCGGCGAUCUGGGUCGAUACUGACGCUGAGGUGCGAAAGCGUGGGGAGCAAACAGG
rnacentral:rRNA from 1 species